UACGAAGGGGGCUAGCGUUAAUCGGAAUUACUGGGCGUAAAGCGUGCGCAGGCGGUUUUGUAAGUCUGUCGUGAAAUCCCCGGGCUCAACCUGGGAAUUGCGAUGGAGACUGCAAGGCUAGAAUCUGGCAGAGGGGGGUAGAAUUCCACGUGUAGCAGUGAAAUGCGUAGAGAUGUGGAGGAACACCGAUGGCGAAGGCAGCCCCCUGGGUCAAGAUUGACGCUCAUGCACGAAGGCGUGGGGGAGCAAACAGG
rnacentral:rRNA from 1 species